rnacentral:rRNA from 1 species
UACGGAGGGUGCGAGCGUUGUCCGGAAUCACUGGGCGUAAAGGGCGCGUAGGCGGUUCGGUAAGUUGCUGGUGAAAUCCCGGGGCUCAACUCCGGGGCUGCCGGCAAGACUGUCGGACUUGAGCACGGUAGGGGCAGAUGGAAUUCCCGGUGUAGCGGUGGAAUGCGUAGAGAUCGGGAAGAAUACCAGUGGCGAAGGCGUUCUGCUGGGCCGUUGCUGACGCUGAGGCGCGACAGCGUGGGGAGCAAACAGG